rnacentral:rRNA from 1 species
UCCCACGAGGCAUGGACUAUUCUUGAGCGCUCGUUUGCGGCACAGUCGCAGGCUCGUGUAUCUGGGCUCCGUCGCCAACUUGGGGAGUGUCAGAAGCUUGACUCCACCGCCACUGAGUUCUACAACAAAGUCAAGAGUCUCGCCGACACGCUGGCCUCCAUUGGACAGCCCCUCACCGACUCCGAGUUCAACUCGUUUAUUGUCAAUGGUCUUGAUGAGGAGUAUGACGCCCUAGUCGAGAUCAUCAAUGAGAGGGGCAACUCCACGCCCAUGCCAGCACACGAGGUCUUUUCACGCCUCCUGCUUACUGAGCAACGAGUCGAGACGCGCCGAUCCAGGGGCAACGACGCCCUCUCGGCAAACGCCGCCACCAAGGGUGGUCGCUCCUCUGCUUCAUCCAGGGCUCCUUCGGGGCAGUCACCACCACCCGCCUCAGCC